rnacentral:rRNA from 1 species
AGUCGAGCGAGAAGGUGUAGCAAUACACUUGUAAAGCGGCGAACGGGUGAGGAAUACAUGGGUAAUCUACCAUCGAGUGGGGAAUAACCAGCCGAAAGGUUGGCUAAUACCGCGUACGCCUCCGGAUCUUCGGGUUCGGAGGGAAAGCCACACUGUGAGUGCGGCGCUCUUUGAUGAGCUCAUGUCCUAUCAGCUUGUUGGUAGGGUAACGGCCUACCAAGGCUUUGACGGGUAGCUGGUCUGAGAGGACGAUCAGCCACACUGGCACUGCGACACGGGCCAGACUCCUACGGGAGGCAGCAGUAAGGAAUAUUGCGCAAUGGGCGAAAGCCUGACGCAGCGACGCCGCGUGGGGGAUGAAGGUCUUCGGAUUGUAAACCCCUUUCGGGAGGGAAGAUGGAGCGAGCAAUCGUUCGGACGGUACCUCCAGAAGCAGCCACGGCCAACUUCGUGCCAGCAGCCGCGGUAAUACGAAGGUGGCAAGCGUUGUUCGGAUUCACUGGGCGUACAGGGUGUGUAGGCGGUUUGGUAAGCCUUCUGUUAAAGCUUCGGGCCCAACCCGGAAAGCGCAGAGGGUACUGCCAGGCUA